rnacentral:rRNA from 1 species
GGAGGCCUAAGUACCCUAAAGGCACCAGAUCCCAUCUGAUCUUGGAAGUUAAGUAGGGUCAGUUCUGGCUAGUACUUGGAUGGAAGAUUGUCAACAAAUACCAGGUGAAGCAUGCU